AUACGUUCUCAGGGGCGGAGUGAAAUUCUCCACCGGUGGUGAUUUUAAUAUAAUAAGUCCACGAGCACGAGGUUAAUGUGUUGAUUUGGUGAAAUUCCAAAACCGACGGUGACAGUCCGGAUGAAAGAGAAUAAGU
rnacentral:ncRNA from 1 species